UGCUAAGAGGAAUCCAGCAGAAUAACUGACAGAGUUAAGAGAUUUCGUGCCAAAGACUAUAUUGCAUUUAAAUGUAUCAUGCAUACAUCAGAGUCUACUGGAGGUUGCUAAGUUCAAAGAGCCUCUAAAGGAUGGGUUAAAGUUUGCCUGCAAAGCAGUUCCGUGUUCUUUGGAUUCAGGGUUUUGGCUCUGACAUUGCAGCGCACUUCAAAUGGAAUUCUGCCUGGACAAGAGCUGUAGGAUUGUGAUCCUGGCUGAGGGGAUGAAGAAGUGUAUGAAAGAGCAUUGAUGUGCUGAAGGAAAAGCUGCAGAAGCCUUUUACAAAUAAUUACAUGAAAAGAUAGGUGAAAAAUCUUCCAUCUUCUUAUUAAUAAAAGCGUGGUCAGUAAUGUUACA
rnacentral:lncRNA from 1 species